CAGUCGAACGAGCGAGAGAGAGCUUGCUUUCUCGAGCGAGUGGCGAGCGGGUGAGUAACGCGUGAGGAACCUGCCUCAAAGAGGGGGACAACAGUUGGAAACGACUGCUAAUACCGCAUAAGCCCACGGCUCGGCAUCGAGCAGGGGGAAAAGGAGCAAUCCGCUUUGAGAUGGCCUCGCGUCCGAUUAGCUAGUUGGUGAGGUAAUGGCCCACCAAGGCGACGAUCGGUAGCCGGACUGAGAGGUUGAACGGCCACAUUGGGACUGAGACACGGCCCAGACUCCUACGGGAGGCAGCAGUGGGGAAUAUUGCACAAUGGGGGAAACCCUGAUGCAGCGACGCCGCGUGGAGGAAGAAGGUCUUCGGAUUGUAAACUCCUGUUGUUGGGGAAGAUAAUGACGGUACCCAACAAGGAAGUGACGGCUAACUACGUGCCAGCAGCCGCGGUAAAACGUAGGUCACAAGCGUUGUCCGAAAUUACUGGGUGUAAAGGGAGCGCAGGCGGGAAGACAAGUUGGAAGUGAAAUCUAUGGGCUCAACCCAUAAACUGCUUUCAAAACUGUUUUUCUUGAGUAGUGCAGAGGUAGGCGGAAUUCCCGGUGUAGCGGUGGAAUGCGUAGAUAUCGGGAGGAACACCAGUGGCGAAGGCGGCCUACUGGGCACCAACUGACGCUGAGGCUCGAAAGUGUGGGUAGCAAACAGGAUUAGAUACCCUGGUAGUCCACACCGUAAACG
rnacentral:rRNA from 1 species